rnacentral:tRNA from 1 species
CUGAGUGUAGCUCAGUUGAUAGAGCGGAGGACUGUAGAUUAUGAUAAUAGUUAUCCUUAGCUCACUGGUUCGAAUCCGGUUGGUUGGA